GCCUGCUGGUCUGCUGGCGGGCAGGCGGCGCUGGGCCGGAGCCUCUCCCUCCGGUGCGCACAGCGCACCCUCUCCUCCCCCGGCCGCCCGUCGCAGCGCGGAGAGGGCGUGUCGGCACCCUGCCUGGCGAGCGCCCACCCCUACAAUGGCUGCGAGCGCGCGGGACGGAGGGUGCACCGCCGCUCCCCGGGGACUUGCACGGGUGGCGCGCCUAGCCCAGAGCCCGCUUGUAGUGAGCGCUCAGUAGGGCGGGAAAGCUGCUGCCGCUACUGCGGCCUUCUGAGAAGACGCCCAUUCUCUGAUGUCAGGACUGCAUCGCCGAGUCCUGAUUGCAAAUAGCGAAAUAUAUAAUUAAGGAGAGUUCGGGGGCGUAUCCUGCAAUGGGAUGCCGAGUUCGAUAAAGUUGCAGGAUGCUGGGAAAGUGGAUUGAUUUGCUGUUGCUAAAUGAAUGGAAACAGCGUUAGAGCUUCUGUCCACGAUCCAUCAGUCUAUCGAGAUUGCUGAUUGCCUAUGACUUGGACGGUUGAUGGUUUUCAGGCCCACUGAGAGCAGCCAGCGUUGGUAUAACCGCAGGGAGCCCUCCUGGGAGGUUGAACCUGCAGAGCGCAAAUGUGCCCAGGUUGAUUUGGGGCCUAGUGGUCCAUUUUCACAGCUCCACUGCCUAUCUGCAUAACCAGGAGCCCUCAUUCAGAUGAACGCCAAAUGGGCCAGAGGGAGGAGAAUCAAAUGAGCAACUUUUAAAAGAUAUUAAGACAUAGGCACCUAACUCCGGACAGUUCCUUUAACCCUUGAGCUAACCAUUUGAAGCACAAAACAUAACAAAAGAAAAGACUGGGGGGAGUGGGGCCAAAAGAAACCAAGUGCAAAAUUCUGUACACUUGUGUCAGAUUCACUCCGUAAUGGGAAAAGGUCUGGCUUUGAAAACUUUAUGGAUCAAAGGGAUGCAUGGAGUUACACAGCACAGCUGCAGAAGAUAAUGUUCCCCUGGAUCACUCUGCCCAACUCUUAACUGCAACCCACCUUCCCCAUCCGUCUCCCCGAAAUCACCCGGAAGGGUGUUACCUUCAGGAAGUAACUGAUCUCUUGAUCACCCCUGCUGGAUCCUGUCCCCAAGGGCGUUCGAAUGCAUCCGACUCAUCUUCACCUUGCCAAUAACGGGUGCUUGACACAUCGUUUGCUGCCAAUCAUUAUUGUGAUUUUAAUACUAUUGGUAUUCUAACUAUCAAGAUGACUGCUUGUAGAGCCAGAUUGCCUGGAUUCAAACUCCAGUUCACAACCUACUAACUGUAUGCCUUUAGGUAAACUCAGAUGCCUCUGAUGGAUUCGAAAUAACCAGAUAUAUUUCUGAAUUGCUUCAUAUGGAGCUAUUAAAAACAAUAACAAGCCUG
rnacentral:lncRNA from 1 species